rnacentral:rRNA from 1 species
GACGAACGCUGGCGGCGCGCCUAACACAUGCAAGUCGAACGGAGCUACCUUUUCGGAAGUUUUCGGAUGGAAGAGGAAGUAGCUUAGUGGCGAACGGGUGAGUAACACGUGAGGAACCUGCCUUAAAGAGGGGGACAACAGUUGGAAACGACUGCUAAUACCGCAUAAGCCCACGGUGCCGCAUGGCACAGGGGGAAAAGGAGAAAUCCGCUUUAAGAUGGACUCGCGUCCAAUUAGCUAGAUGGUGAGGUAAAGGCUCACCAUGGCGACGAUUGGUAGCCGGACUGAGAGGUUGAACGGCCACAUUGGGACUGAGACACGGCCCAGACUCCUACGGGAGGCAGCAGUGGGGAAUAUUGCACAAUGGGGGAAACCCUGAUGCAGCGACGCCGCGUGGAGGAAGAAGGUUUUCGGAUUGUAAACUCCUGUCUUCGGGGACGAUAAUGACGGUACCCGAGGAGGAAGCCACGGCUAACUACGUGCCAGCAGCCGCGGUAAAACGUAGGUGGCAAGCGUUGUCCGGAAUUACUGGGUGUAAAGGGAGCGCAGGCGGGUCGGUAAGUUGGGAGUGAAAACUAUGGGCUCAACCCAUAAAUUGCUUUCAAAACUGCUGAUCUUGAGUGGUGUAGAGGUAGGCGGAAUUCCCGGUGUAGCGGUGGAAUGCGUAGAUAUCGGGAGGAACACCAGUGGCGAAGGCGGCCUACUGGGCACUAACUGACGCUGAGGCUCGAAAGCAUGGGUAGCAAACAGG